GUCUGCUCAUGUUACAUAUCCUGAAGAAAAACUUUUUUAUACGGUGCUUGAAUUCAUUUUCCUUCUUUUCAACCAAUAAUAGAAGCAGGAUCAGGAUCAGUAACGUGUUAAUUGGAAAUAAUGCCUAAAAUGCCAAAUGGCAGGAGUGAAUGAUCAUGACCUGAACUCAUCAUAUCAGAUGCACCUUCAAGUUCAAAGAUUGUUCUUCCAACAACCAGUAAGGACAUUAGAAGAGCAUCCAGCCACCCUUCUAGAUAGUGGGAUCGACUGCACCCUCAGCAAAUUAGCAGAUGACACCAAGCUGAGUGGUACAACAGAAGGAAGGGAUGCCAUGCACAGGGACCUGGACAAGCAUGAGAAGUGGGUCCACAUAAACCUAAUGAGGUUCAAAAAAUCCAAGUGUAAGGUGCUGCACCUGGGUCAGGGCAAUCCCAGGCAGAAGUACAGACUGGGAGAAGAACUCACUGAGAGCAGCCCUGCAGAGAAAGACUUGGGGGUUCUGGUGAACAACAUGAGCAAGCAGUACGUGCUUGCAGCCCAGAAAGCCAACUGUGUCCUGUGCUGCAUCACCAGAGGGGUGGCCAGCAGGGGAGGGAGGUGA
rnacentral:lncRNA from 1 species